rnacentral:rRNA from 1 species
CGGUUGAUCCUGCCGGAGGUCACUGCUAUUGGGAUUCGACUAAGCCAUGCGAGUCGAGAGGGUUCGGCCCUCGGCUGACGGCUCAGUAACACGUGGAUAAUCUGCCCUUAGGUGGAGGAUACUCUCGGGAAACUGAGAAUAAUACUCCAUAGAUCUAGGAUGCAGGAAUGCACCUAGAUUGAAAGCCCCGGCGCCUAAGGAUGAGUCUGCGGACUAUCAGGUUGUGGUCAGGGUAAUGACCUGACUAGCCUACGACGGAUACGGGUUGUGAGAGCAAUAACCCGGAGACGAUAUCUGAGACACGAUAUCGGGCCCUACGGGGCGCAGCAGGCGCGAAAACUUCACACUGUGCGAAAGCACGAUGAGGGAAUCCCAAGUGCCAACUCGUAAGAGUUGGCUGUUUUUCUGUCUAAAAAAUAGAGAGAGUAAGAGCUGGGUAAGACGGGUGCCAGCCGCCGCGGUAAUACCUGCAGCUCAAGUGGUGGCCACUAUUAUUGGGCCUAAAACGUCCGUAGCCGGUUUAAUAAAUGCCCGGGUAAAUCGUGUAGCUUAACUAUACGAAUUCCGGGUAGACUGUUAGACUUGAGACCGGGAGAAGCUAGAGGUACUCCUGGGGUAGAGGUGAAAUUCUGUAAUCCUAGGGGGACCACCAGUGGCGAAGGCGUCUAGCUAGAACGGGUCUGACGGUGAGGAACGAAGCCCUGGGGCGCAAACCGGAUUAGAUACCCGGGUAGUCCAGGGUGUAAACGCUGCUUGCUUGAUGUUAGUUGGGCUCCGAGCCCAAUUAGUGUCGGAGAGAAGUUGUUAAGCAAGCUGCCUGGGAAGUACGGCCGCAAGGCUGAAACUUAAAGGAAUUGGCGGGGGAGCAC